GAAGGGUUCUACCUGACCUUGGCCAGGGACAGGAGCCAAGUGCAUUGUUCAAGGCCCCAGGGGUGACCCUGGGGACCUGCCUGCUGAAAAGAGAGGCUUCCUGUAGCUCCCAGCAAAUCCCAUAGCUAGCUGAAAAAUC
rnacentral:lncRNA from 12 species